GAAUCAGACUGGCCAGCUAAUGUUCACUACUAUGCCCCAUAAGAAGAAACUUACUGGCUCCCAGGAGCUAGCAUUAAUCCAUCACAAACUGUCUUACUUCUCAUAGGACGUGCCUCAGGUGUUAAUUCUCAGAUGUUCAAGCCUCAAACUGAUAACCCUGAAUUAGCAUGUUUUGUGACAAGAAAACCACAUUAAAAGUUUCAUCUUUAUGUAGCACACUCCAGGAGAUGGGCACAACUCCACCCAGAACAGUCUAAGGAGGCUUGACCCUCCCAACUUACAUCAGAAUAAUACUCAUGAAGCACGGAAUGGAACAGUAACUAAGAUAAUGGGAAAGCAUAAGUCAUUCGGCCUCUCCCCUGAAAUUUUUCCACUUCUAUUCUACAGGAGUGAGGGAAUCACCUUGGAAACAUCUGAGUAUGCCUGUGAGAGAGAGCUUCUAGACUGAGUUGAGAUGAGAAGACUCAAUUUGAAUGUGACAGCACCAUCCUAUGAGCAAGAGUCCUCGAGUGAGUAAGAAGGACAAAGUGGGCUGGGAAGAUCACUCGUAUCUCUCUGCUUCCAGAAUAUGCAUGCAAUGUGACCAUCUGUGUUAUAUUCCUGUCACCAAGAUGGACUAUAUCUUCAAACUGAGAGUGAAAAUAAGCCUGUAAGUGUUUUUGUGGUGAUCGGGGGCCAAGGAAUGCUGCUAAUAUCACACCAUACAACAGACCUCACACAAGAGUUUUAUUGGAAGGGUGAUGGGGGAAGUCCUGUGUAUAUGUCAAUAAA